rnacentral:rRNA from 1 species
GACGAACCGUGCGAACGUUGUUCGGAAUCACUGGGCUUAAAGGGCGCGUAGGCGGCUUGCUAAGUCAGGGGUGAAAUCUUUCGGCUUAACCGGAAAAGUGCCUUUGAUACUGGCAGGCUAGAGGGAGGUAGGGGCAUGCGGAACUUCCGGUGGAGCGGUGAAAUGCGUUGAUAUCGGAAGGAACGCCGGUGGCGAAAGCGGCGUGCUGGACCUCUUCUGACGCUGAGGCGCGAAAGCUAGGGGAGCAAACGGG